rnacentral:rRNA from 1 species
AUUGAACGCUGGCGGCAUGCCUUACACAUGCAAGUCGAACGGUAACAGGUCUUCGGAUGCUGACGAGUGGCGAACGGGUGAGUAAUACAUCGGAACGUGCCCGAGAGUGGGGGAUAACGAAGCGAAAGCUUUGCUAAUACCGCAUACGAUCUCAGGAUGAAAGCAGGGGACCGCAAGGCCUUGCGCUCACGGAGCGGCCGAUGGCAGAUUAGGUAGUUGGUGGGAUAAAAGCUUACAAAGCCGACGAUCUGUAGCUGGUCUGAGAGGACGACCAGCCACACUGGGACUGAGACACGGCCCAGACUCCUACGGGAGGCAGCAGUGGGGAAUUUUGGACAAUGGGCGCAAGCCUGAUCCAGCCAUGCCGCGUGCAGGAUGAAGGCCUUCGGGUUGUAAACUGCUUUUGUACGGAACGAAAAGACUCUGGUUAAUACCUGGGGUCCAUGACGGUACCGUAAGAAUAAGCACCGGCUAACUACGUGCCAGCAGCCGCCGUAAAAC